CUUAUGUAUAUAAACCAAUGAAACCACCACCACAAUCAACAUAGCUAACAUUUCCACCACUUUCCAGGAGAUGCAAGUUUCAAACUCCCGAUUUAUCCGUCCCUAUCUCCUUUACCCGCUGGUAACCAUAAGUUUGUUCUUUAUGUCUGUGAGUUUGUUUCCAUUUUGUAGAUGAGUUC